AUUACUCACAAAGAGAUGGGUUGCCCGGGCGAAAAAGUGACACAGAUAUGGGAAGGAAAGUCCCCCAGGUCUCAGAUGUGAUGGAAUCAGAGACACAGAAAGACAAACAAACAAAACGGGAAGACUUGCCACGAUUCCGAAAAGUUGUCUAAAUUGGUCUCUAUCGAGUAAUAAAAUCACAGGUUUUUGAUGGCAUUAAGGAAAGCUGUUGCUGCCUGUUUUGAAGAUGCCUCUCUUAUCUCAAUGGCUAGUUUUGGACAUUUCCACACUUGAGACAUGAGAGACUUAAAGAGCCUCUUGGAUCAACAAGUCUGUUUUCCUUCCCUUGCCCUCCCAAGAGUUUAAGACUUCUCCAGGAGAAAAUUCAAUUGCCUCCAACCUACCCAUUACCUGGUGACUUCACUCAGUGAAUUCAUUCCUUUGCUAGGCUGACUUGUACGUUGACCCUGAUUUUUUUUUCCCUCAAGUGCCUUGUUUAGCCACAUUUUAUGACUCUGCUCUUGACUGAGGCACACAGGUCAAACUGUUACUUUACAAAGGGAGGUUCAUAAAGUGAGUAUUUCUCAAGUAAUUCUGGAAACUAGAGAGGAAAUGAUUCGAGGGUACAAAGGGGUACAGCCAGUUUGUUGAGCUUCCAUACUGAAGAAUAACGGCUUUACGUAGAACAUAAGCACUCUCCAGAGAUGUUUCUACAAAGCACACUUACAGUAGUUGAAGCAGUGCUCCUGAGAAAGGUUCCCUGGUGCAGGGUUACAGAAAGAAAUUUCUAAACCCUAACCAAACUGAAAGGGGGUUUUCAGAAAUGUCCUCUUCUCUCAGAGAGAGGUUAGGUACACACGAUAAGUACUGAGUCGACAUUUGUUUUUUGCUAACCACUCAGUAAAUUCUAGAGCAGACAUCUUCUACUAAGCUAUAGUCCUAACAAUGAAAGCGGGACCUGUUUAGCAGUUUAUGUUUCUAUUGUACAGGAGAAUGACUUCCUAGCUUAAGUGACUAUGCCUUUAUUAGAGGUUAUUAUGAUAUAAAGGGAUUUCAAGUUCUUAAGGGUUAUAAGGGGGUAAUAACUGAGUUUCUUGCCUCACUGUAUUUCCCUGGGGAAUACACAAUAGACCCCAUACAUGUAACUAAAUAAACCUAAGAUACGAAACCCUCUUCUCUAAGAAUUCCUACAGGAUGUAAACAUGAGAGAGACCCUCUGGGCUUAUGACCUAGUCACCAAGUUGGACUUAAAAAGGCAAGUAAAGAAAAUAGAGUUACAUGUAAGACUCAAGUAAGGUGUUUAGAUAAUGGCACUGUGCAUGUAAUGAGGAUGCUGAAGACAACUGAAGUCAUUAAAAAAGUGGGACAUAAAAUUGUCCAGGACAGAGAGUUUGCUUACAGGAAUAACGGGAGAGUGAUUGGAAUGCUAGAUUGGGACAAAAUGGUGGGCAGAAUAUUUUGCCAAUGGAAAGUUUAUAUUUCAUUUUGUAGGCUACUCUAGGAUAUUUACUUAAAUUUUAUGUUUCCUGACUGUCCAGGUCACAAUGGAAUCCUAUACAUUUUCUUCAGAUGAAAAAAGAUGGAUGUGUGCCAGUUAAUCAAACAGGAUAAAAUUUGCUUGCUCCUUUUUACGGGAUGAUGAUGACUAAUGCUGUAGAUAAUGCUUUAAACAGUGAUUUUGCUCACCAGACUUGGUCCCAAUGUUCUCAAUGAAAGUCAAGACCAUACUCUUGACAUGUGACUUUGGGAAGGGCAUUCUGAGAAGUAACAUUAAUGAGUUUUAAAUAUGGAGUCCUCUUUCUUUCUUUCUUUCUUUCUUUCUUUCUUUCUUUCUUUCUUUC